CAAGAAUUCAAAGUUAAAAGUCUAUUGUAGCUCUUGAAAAUAAACUAAAUUAUACAUUAAAAAAAAAUAGAAUUUGAAAGAACAAGAACAACUUUGAUGAUGGAUGGAGGGAGGGUUUUGUUGAAUGCUUGGAUCGAGUUAUAUCAUGUAUGGUCACACAAACCAACCAGUCAGAAAACAUCUGUUUCUUUUUCUAUAUUUGUCUCUCACACUGCGAUUAUGGCUAAAGUAAUCGAUAUAGAUCAAUACUAUAAGAACAGCAUCUGUUAUGUGUAUUUUAAAUAAAGCCCGUAUGGUUUUCAAGGAUUACACUCGUUUCAUGGAAAAUGAAGGUGAAAUUACGUUCUAACGAAUUUAGAUGUAAGGGAGA